rnacentral:rRNA from 1 species
CCCUUAGAUGUUCUGGGCCGCACGCGCGCUACACUGAUGCAUUCAACGAGUUUUGUUUGUUCCUUGGCCGAGAGGCCUGGGCAAUCUUUUGAACUUGCAUCGUGAUAGGGAUAGAUUAUUGCAAUUAUUAAUCUUGAACGAGGAAUUCCUAGUAAACGCAGAUCAUCAAUCUGCAUUGAUUACGUCCCUGCCCUUUGUACACACCGCCCGUCGCUCCUACCGAUUGGGUGUGCUGGUGAAAUGUUCGGAUCGGCCGUUUGUCGCGGUUUCCGCGUCAUGUGGCUGAGAAGUUCAUUAAACCCUCCCACCUAGAGGAAGGAGAAGUCGUAACA